GAUGAACGCUGGCGGCGUGCUUAACACAUGCAAGUCGAACGAUGAAGCCCAGCUUGCUGGGUGGAUUAGUGGCGAACGGGUGAGUAACACGUGAGUAACCUGCCCUUGACUCUGGGAUAAGCCUGGGAAACUGGGUCUAAUACCGGAUAGGAACGUCCACCGCAUGGUGGGUGUUGGAAAGAUUUAUCGGUCAUGGAUGGACUCGCGGCCUAUCAGCUUGUUGGUGAGGUAAUGGCUCACCAAGGCGACGACGGGUAGCCGGCCUGAGAGGGUGACCGGUCACACUGGGACUGAGACACGGCCCAGACUCCUACGGGAGGCAGCAGUGGGGAAUAUUGCACAAUGGGCGAAAGCCUGAUGCAGCGACGCCGCGUGAGGGAUGACGGCCUUCGGGUUGUAAACCUCUUUCAGUAGGGAAGAAGCGAAAGUGACGGUACCUGCAGAAGAAGCACCGGCUAACUACGUG
rnacentral:rRNA from 1 species